rnacentral:rRNA from 1 species
GACGAACGCUGGCGGCGUGCUUAACACAUGCAAGUCGAACGGUAAGGCCCUUCGGGGUACACGAGUGGCGAACGGGUGAGUAACACGUGGGUGAUCUGCCCUGCACUUCGGGAUAAGCCUGGGAAACUGGGUCUAAUACCGGCUAGGACUCCUGGCUUCAUGGUUGGGGGUGGAAAGCUUUUGCGGUGUGGGAUGGGCCCGCGGCCUAUCAGCUUGUUGGUGGGGUAAUGGCCUACCAAGGCGACGACGGGUAGCCGGCCUGAGAGGGUGACCGGUCACACUGGGACCGAGAUACGGCCCAGACUCCUACGGGAGGCAGCAGUGGGGAAUAUUGCACAAUGGGCGCAAGCCUGAUGCAGCGACGCCGCGUGAGGGAUGACGGCCUUCGGGUUGUAAACCUCUUUCAGCUAUGACGAAGCGUAAGUGACGGUAGGUGCAGAAGAAGGACCGGCCAACUACGUGCCAGCAGCCGCGGUAA